rnacentral:rRNA from 1 species
GAAAGGUGAAAAGUACCCCGAGAGGGGAGUGAAAUAGACCUGAAACCAUUUAACCUACAAGCCGUGGAAGCUCUAUAUGAGUGACCGCGUGCCUAUUGAAGAAUGAGCCAGCGAGUUAAUCUAUGCAGCUUGGUUAAGGAACACAAGUUCCGUAGCCGUAGCGAAAGCGAGUCUGAAUAGGGCGCUUACUGGGUGAAAUUAAUGCUGUUGCUUUGAAUGAAGAUCAAAGAUUUUCGGAUUAGAGAUCUGAUUUUGAUUUAAUAGUUGAUUUUUCGUUAUCCCCGGUGUGUUGUAUGGAUUAGACCCGAAACCGAGUGAGCUACCUAUGGCCAGGUUGAAGCUCAGAUAGUAUCUGAGUGGAGGACCGAACCCGUGUAUGGUACAAAAUGCUGGGAUGAGCUGUGGGUAGAGGUGAAAUGCCAAUCGAACUCGGAGAUAGCUGGUUCUCCCCGAAAUGUAUUUAGGUACAGCCUUAAUAUAUAGUCUUGGGGGGGUAGAGCUCUGGAUGAGCUAGGGGGUGUAAGCUUACUAAACUCAACCAAACUCCAAAUACCUCAAGAUGUUUAUUAGGAGUGAGACAGUGGGGGAUAAGCUCCAUUGUCGAAAGGGAAACAGCCCAGAUCGCAGGCUAAGGCCCCUAAAUGUGAACUAAGUGUGAAAGGAAGUUAGAUUGGCGAGACAGCUAGGAGGUUGGCUUAGAGGCAGCCAUCCUUUGAAGAGUGCGUAACAGCUCACUAGCAGACUGGUUUUGCGCCGAAAAUGUAACGGGGCUAAGUUCACUGCCGAAGCCGCGACUUUAGCCAUUUAUUUGGUUAAGGGGUAGGGGAGCGUUGCCAAAGCAUUGAAGCUAUGUACGUGAGUAAUAGUGGAGUUUUGGGAAGUGAGAAUGCUGGCAUGAGUAGCGACAAUCUUGGUGAGAAUCCAAGACACCGAAAACCCAAGGUUUCCUACGCAACGUUGAUCAGCGUAGGGUAAGUCGGGCCUAAGCUGUAGCGUAUAGCGAAAGCGAUGGACAGCAGGUCAAAAUUCCUGCACCGUUGUUAUGGCGUUUUAAGGCAAAGGGGGGACACGGAAAGGUAGAUAGAUCGUACCUAUUGGACAUGGUACGUUAUGUUCUGAAGGCCAUGCUUAGACUGGGAAAUCCGUUUAAGCGUUAUGAGCUGAGAGGAUAAUAAAACUUAAGGGCUUAUGCCCUUGAGGAUUCUAUUGAUCCUAUGCCGUCAAGAAAAUCCUCGUUGCUAGACAUUUCAGCGUCCGUACCGCAAACCGACACAGGUGGGUAGGGGUAAGUAUCCCAAGGUGAACGAGAGAACCUUCGUUAAGGAAUUCGACAACUUAACUCUGUAACUUCGGAAUAAAGAGUGCCCGUUUGGUAGUGUUUACUUGCUAAACAUGGCUAAAGCGGGUCGCAGUGAACAGGCUCAGGCGACUGUUUAUCAAAAACAUAGGUCUCUGCUAAAGCGAAAGCUGAUGUAUAGGGGCUGACGCCUGCCCAGUGCCGGAAGGUUAAGGGAAAGGGUUCGUUUCAAUUCGUUGAAACAAAGCUCUGCACUGAAGCCCCGGUGAACGGCGGCCGUAACUAUAACGGUCCUAAGGUAGCGAAAUCCCUUGUCGGGUAAGUUCCGACCUGCACGAAUGGCGUAACGAUCUGAGCGUUGUCUCAACGAAGGACUCGGUGAAAUUGCAUGGCCGGUAAAGAUGCCGGCUACCCGCAACAGGACAAAAAGACCCCGUGGAGCUUUACUGUAGCUUGGUAAUGGAUUGUGUUUAUUAAUGUGUAGGAUAGGCGGGAGACUUUGAAGCAUCGGCGCUAGCUGAUGUGGAGUCAACCUUGAAAUACCGCUCUUUACUAAAUUCGAUUCUAACCUCGUAGAAAACGAGGGACAUUGCCAGGUGGGCAGUUUGACUGGGGCGGUCGCCUCCUAAAGAGUAAC